ACUCAAAGGAAUUGACGGGGACCCGCACAAGCAGAGGAUGAUGUGGUUUAAUAUGACGCUACGCGUAGAACCUUACCCAGGCUUGACAUCUUAGGAAUCCUGCAGAAAUGCGGGAGUGCCUUCGGGAGCCUAAUGACAGGUGCUGCAUGGCCGUCGUCAGCUCGUGUUGUGAAAUGUUGGGUUAAGUCCCGCAACGAGCGCAACCCUUAUCGUAUGUUGUAUUUUUCAUGCGAGACUGCCCGGGCCAACCGGGAGGAAGGUGGGGAUGAAGUCAGGUCGGCAUGGCCCUUACGCCUGGGGCUACUCACGUCAUACAAUGGCCAGUACAACGCGCAGCGAUACCGCAAGGUGGAGCAAAUCGCAUCAAAACUGGUCUCAGUUCGGAUUGGGGGCUGCAACUCGCCCCCAUGAAGUCGGAUUUGCUAGUAAACGCAGGUCAGCACACUGCGUUGAAUACGUUCCCGGGUCUUGUACACACCGCCCGU
rnacentral:rRNA from 1 species